AGAAUCAACGCUGGCGGCGUGCCUAACACAUGCAAGUCGAACGAGAAAGUGGAGCAAUCCAUGAGUAAAGUGGCGACCGGGUGAGUAACACGUGACUAACCUACCUUCGAGUGGGGGAUAACAUCGGGAAACCGAUGCUAAUACCGCAUAACAUCGCAAGAUCAAAGCAGCAAUGCGCUUGAAGAGGGGGUCGCGGCUGAUUAGCUAGUUGGCGGGGUAAUGGCCCACCAAGGCGAAGAUCGGUAUCCGGCCUGAGAGGGCGCACGGACACACUGGAACUGAAACACGGUCCAGACUCCUACGGAGGCAGCAGUGGGGAAUUUUGCGCAAUGGGGGAAACCCUGACGCAGCAACGCCGCGUGGAGGAUGAAGCCCCUUGGGGCGUAAACUCCUUUCGACCAAGACGAUAAUGACGGUACUGGUGGAAGAAGCACCGGCUAACUCUGUGCCAGCAGCCGC
rnacentral:rRNA from 1 species